rnacentral:rRNA from 1 species
GCCUACGGCCAUACCACCCUUAAAGCGCCCGAUCUCGUCUGAUCUCGGAAGCUAAGCAGGGACGGGCUUGGUUAGUACCUGGAUGGGAGACCGCCUGGGAAUACCAGGUGUUGUAGGCU